rnacentral:rRNA from 1 species
GGUUAAGCGACUAAGCGUACACGGUGGAUGCCCUGGCAGUCAGAGGCGAUGAAGGACGUGCUAAUCUGCGAUAAGCGUCGGUAAGGUGAUAUGAACCGUUAUAACCGGCGAUUUCCGAAUGGGGAAACCCAGUGUGUUUCGACACACUAUCAUUAACUGAAUCCAUAGGUUAAUGAGGCGAACCGGGGGAACUGAAACAUCUAAGUACCCCGAGGAAAAGAAAUCAACCGAGAUUCCCCCAGUAGCGGCGAGCGAACGGGGAGCAGCCCAGAGCCUGAAUCAGUGUGUGUGUUAGUGGAAGCGUCUGGAAAGGCGCGCGAUACAGGGUGACAGCCCCGUACACAAAAAUGCACAUGCUGUGAGCUCGAUGAGUAGGGCGGGACACGUGGUAUCCUGUCUGAAUAUGGGGGGACCAUCCUCCAAGGCUAAAUACUCCUGACUGACCGAUAGUGAACCAGUACCGUGAGGGAAAGGCGAAAAGAACCCCGGCGAGGGGAGUGAAAAAGAACCUGAAACCGUGUACGUACAAGCAGUGGGAGCACGCUUAGGCGUGUGACUGCGUACCUUUUGUAUAAUGGGUCAGCGACUUAUAUUCUGUAGCAAGGUUAACCG